GGGUGCGACCAUACUAGCAUUAACGCACCGGAUCCCAUCCGAAAUCCGAAGUUAAGCGUGCUUGGGUGAGAGUAGUACUAGGAUGGGUGACCUGUUGGGACGUCCUCGUGUUGCACCCC
rnacentral:rRNA from 1 species